UACCUUGGACCGGGCCAGCCCAGUCGGG
rnacentral:sRNA from 1 species